rnacentral:rRNA from 1 species
GUCUAGCCUGCCCACUGAAUUUAUUUAAAGGGCCGCGGUAUUUUGACCGUGCGAAGGUAGCAUAAUCAAUAGUCUCUUAAUUGGAGGCUGGAAUGAAUGGUUGGACAAGGAGCUAGCUGUCUCUUUGGUAUUUCUUGAAGUUUACUUUUAAGUGAAAAGGCUUAAAUACUCUUGGGGGACGAUAAGACCCUAUAAAACUUUACAGUUUGGUUCGUGCUUUUUGAAAUAUAGUUUAAUAUUGAUUACGGGUUAUCUGUUGUGUUGGGGCGACAAAGAUAUAAAUUAAUAACUGUCAGGUAAAAGUAAUAGUGAUAAUUAGAUAAGUUGAUCCUUUAUUAGAGAUUAUAAGAUUAAGUUACUUUAGGGAUAACAGCGUAAUUUUCUCUGAGAGUUCUUAUCGACGAGAGUAGUUGCGACCUCGAUGUUGAAUUAAGGUUUCUUUUAGAUGUAGCAGUUUAAUUAGUGGGUCUGUUCGACCUU